rnacentral:rRNA from 1 species
AUUGAACGCUGGCGGCAGGCCUAACACAUGCAAGUCGAGCGAGCGGCGGACGGGUGAGUAAUAUCUGGGAAACUGCCUGAUGGAGGGGGAUAACUACUGGAAACGGUAGCUAAUAACGCAUACCAUCAGAUGUGCCCAGCUGGGAUUCGCUAGUAGGUGGGGUAAUGGCUCGCCUAGGCGACGAUCCCUAGCUGGUCUGAGAGGAUGACCAGCCACACGGGAACGGAGACACGGUCCAGAGUCCUACGGGAGGCAGCAGGGGGGAAUAGUGCACAAUGGGCGCAAGCCUGAUGCAGCCAUGCCGCGUGUACGAAGAAGGCAUUCGGGUUGUAAAGUACUUUCAGCGGGGAGGCGUUACCCGCAGAAGAAGCACCGGCUAACUCCGUGCCAGCAGCCGCGGUAAUAC